UUGUCAAUUAUGAUUCAUUUAUGUGUGCAUCUCAGAUAUUGUAAAUACAGCUGCCUCCAGUUGUUAUAAAUACAGGUCCUCUGCUAAGAAGACCCUGUUGCUCAGAGAGGCAUCCUUCUAAAUGGGGAAGCAACAUCUAACUCGACCAAGACAUGGCUGCUUGGACUCGCCUCAUCACUGCUGUUGUGAUCAUGGGCAGCAUUACAGCAGGUUUUGAGGACUCCCUGCAAAGGAUGCGGAGGGAUGACAGCGAUGAAGUCGGACAUCGUCCUGCUGGACAGUU